AAGAGUUUGAUCAUGGCUCAGAACGAACGCUGGCGGCAUGCCUAACACAUGCAAGUCGAACGAGACCUUCGGGUCUAGUGGCGCACGGGUGCGUAAUGCGUGGGAAUCUGCCCCUUGGUUCGGAAUAACAGUUAGAAAUGACUGCUAAUACCGGAUGAUGACGAAAGUCCAAAGAUUUAUCGCCGAGGGAUGAGCCCGCGUAGGAUUAGCUAGUUGGUGAGGUAAAGGCUCACCAAGGCGACGAUCCUUAGCUGGUCUGAGAGGAUGAUCAGCCACACUGGGACUGAGACACGGCCCAGACUCCUACGGGAGGCAGCAGUGGGGAAUAUUGGACAAUGGGCGAAAGCCUGAUCCAGCAAUGCCGCGUGAGUGAUGAAGGCCUUAGGGUCGUAAAGCUCUUUUACCAGGGACGAUAAUGACAGUACCUGGAGAAUAAGCUCCGGCUAACUCCGUG
rnacentral:rRNA from 1 species